UUAAUGCAAGCCAACAGCUGGACCUGUUGUUGGCCAAGCUGGAGCCUGACAUACGUACGUUUGCACACAACCCUUUUUUAAGCCAAUCAUGCUACAUGCAAUCGCUUCUUCAUGCAUCAAGACUGACCGGCUUCCAUCAGGAUCAGGAUCAGGCUCAGGCUCAGGCUCAUGAGUGUGUGGUGGCGAGUACUUUUAUUUGUGUGUCCAAGAAAAGAGUUCAUGCAUGUUCAGAACACAAGCAAAUAAACAGCAUUUGACUCCUCAUCAUCAAUAGUAUAAUCCAAUCCGCAUCGAUCUCUUCUCACCCCCUGCUCGUAUAUAUGGGAUUUCCUUGCUAUUCUUUUUUUUAGCAAGUCAAAGGUUGGAGGCGAACUUUUAACCUAACAGCGUAUUAGUAUAGUUUUGCAUGUCAUGGAUCAGCAUCAAGAUCUUGGAACAGUGGAUUGGAGGUGGGGAGAUAUAUGUUGGCUGCUGCAGAACCCGUCGCUCGGUCCCGCCCUAGCUUUCCGAGCUGUCCACUGCGGAAAGGUGGCAGCUAGGGCAAUGCAUGCUUGAUCUGGAUCGCUUCAAAUAAUUGGUGCCUCGAUCGCUCAUUAAGACAUUAACUAGCUAGUUGCUCGAUCAUGGAUUAGACUAGUGCUAUAGUACUUUUUGUUUCACUAAUAAGCUUCGAGAAAAAGGCUGGUUUUGUCUACUUAUGCAUUAGAUCUCGUGCAUAUGGGAUACAUGAUGAAUUCCACUUGAAAGACAAAAUGUGGAGAGAGAAAAAAAGAAUAGGUGCAUGAAGACAAACUGGAGAGGAUAAUAUUGCAAAGAAUAAGUAGUUUUAUUAGUGAGGGAUAAGGGUACCCACGGAUCCCCACCGACCAGGAUACUGGUCGGCCCUAAUAGGUAAGCCUGCUCGAUCACGUUGUACGGGCCAAGGCAUGAAGAUACGUGGAGCACAAGCUUGGAAGCCGGGUGAAUGGAUUCUGCUUAGAUAUUGCGAGAUACUUGUUGUAGUCCGAUUCAAAUUUCUUUCCAUGUAACAACCGACUAGGAUUAGAUCCUAUUCGAUUGUAACUCUAGGUCGUCAGCCUAUAUAAGGCGGCCAGGGACGCCCCUCGAGGGUACCUCAGCUCCUCACAUCCCAUACCAGCAAUACAAUCUACCAGAACACAUGACAUAGGGUAUUACUCUCCGGAGACCCGAACCUAUCUAAACUUUGCGUCUCUGUGUUACCAUUCGAGUUCUUGUUCUCACGAUCUCCCCCGCCUACAAAUCUACCACCUGGGUAACCCCUGGUAGACUGCCGGUCACUAAAUACGACAAUCACCCCAUCCCAAAUUACUAUUCAUUUUAGCUUUUCUAGAUGCAUAGCUUUUCACUAGUAGAAAAAUGACCUUCCAUCCUCAAACAAAAAUUUCGGUUGUUUUUGAAUCCGGGACUAAAACCUCUUUAGUCUCGGGUCUAAAUUUUGUAGUCCAUGGAGUUACCUUUAGUUUGGGUCUAAAUUUUACAUGUGUGGGGGGCCUCGCGGCAAUUUAGAAUAUUUUUUGGCGCAAAACCUAAAGCUAAAGGAAGGUCUUUAGUCUCGAUUAAUUAGUACCGGUUGGGAAAAUCGAGAUAUAUGAGGUUUCUCAAUCGGAACUAAUACUCGUUGUUUAUUAUGCAUUUAGAUAUAUAUUAUGUUUAGAUAGGUAGCAAAAGUUAUGCAUCAACAAAAGUCAAAACAAAUUGUAAUUUAGGAUGGAGCGAGUAUACGCUGUCAUCCAUGCAGGGGUGAUGGGUUGGUAGUGGUAAACGAAUACUGUACACGAUGCGUUUUAGCUGUUGAGUUUGGUGCCUUUGUCAGGAGAGGCACAUGGUACUGUGCGCGGCCAGAAUUCGCGGUGCAUGGUACCGUGGUACGUGCAAGUACCAC
rnacentral:lncRNA from 1 species